UACAGAGGUCCCAAGCGUUGUUCGGAUUCACUGGGCGUAAAGGGUGCGUAGGUGGCCAGGUAAGUUUGGUGUGAAAGCUCGGAGCUUAACUCCGAAAAGUCAUUGAAUACUAUCUGGCUGGAGGGUCGGAGGGGAGACUGGAAUUCUCGGUGUAGCAGUGAAAUGCGCAGAUAUCAGGAGGAACACCGGUGGCGAAGGCGGGUCUCUGGGCCGUUACUGACGCUGAGGAGCGAAAGCGUGGGGAGCGAACAGG
rnacentral:rRNA from 1 species